rnacentral:rRNA from 1 species
GAUGAACGCUAGCGGCAGGCUUAAUACAUGCAAGUCGUGGGGCAGCACAGGUAGCAAUACUGGGUGGCGACCGGCAAACGGGUGCGGAACACGUACGCAACCUUCCUUUAAGCGGGGGAUAGCCCAGGGAAACUUGGAUUAAUACCCCAUAAGACAAUGGUGUGGCAUCACACAGUUGUUAAAGCUCCGGCACUUAAAGAUGGGCGUGCGGCUGAUUAGGUAGUUGGCGGGGUAACGGCCCACCAAGCCGACGAUCAGUAACUGGUGUGAGAGCACGACCAGUCACACGGGCACUGAGACACGGGCCCGACUCCUACGGGAGGCAGCAGUAAGGAAUAUUGGUCAAUGGACGCAAGUCUGAACCAGCCAUGCCGCGUGGAGGAUGAAGGCCCUCUGGGUUGUAAACUUCUUUUAUUGGGGAAGAAAUCUGUUUUUUCUAAAGCAGUUGACGGUACCCGAUGAAUAAGCACCGGCUAACUCCGUGCCAGCAGCCGCGGUAAUACGGAGGGUGCAAGCGUUAUCCGGAUUCACUGGGUUUAAAGGGUGCGUAGGUGGGCAGGUAAGUCAGUGGUGAAAUCUCUGGGCUUAACCCAGAAACUGCCGUUGAUACUAUC